AGUCGAACGGGGUAGCAAUACCCAGUGGCAGACGGGUGAGUAACACGUGGUCAACCUACCUCUGUGUGGGGGAUAACUAGCCGAAAGGUUAGCUAAUACCGCAUACGAUCGUUUUGGGGCAUCUCGAGACGAUGAAAGGAGCAAUCCGCACGGAGAGGGGGAUGCGUCCCAUUAGUUAGUUGGUGGGGUAACGGCCUACCAAGGAUCCGAUGGGUAGCUGGCUUGAGAGAGCAACCAGCCACACUGGAACUGAGACACGGUCCAGGAUCCUACGGGAGGCAGCAGUGAGGAAACUUUCCGCAAUGGGCGAAAGCCUGACGGAGCGACGCCGCGUGUGGGAAGAAGGCCUUCGGGUCGUAAACCACUGUCGAAGGGGACGAUAUUGACGGUACCCUUGGAGGAAGCCCCGGCUAACUACGUGCCAGCAGCCGCGGUAAGACGUAGGGGGCAAGCGUUGUCCGGAAACUAUUGGGCGUAAAGCGCUCGUAGGUGGAUUGACAAGUCUGCAAGCAAAGCCCCGGGCUCAACUCGGGAAACCCGUGUGGAAACUGUCAAUCUAGAGGUAGUCAGAGGAUGAUGGAAACUCCCGGUGUAGCGGUGAAAUGCGUAGAUAUCGGGAGGAACACCAGUGGCGAAGGCGAUCAUCUGGGGCUAACCUGACACUGAGGAGCGAAAGCUAGGGGAGCAAACGGGAUUAGAUACCCCGGUAGUCCUAGCCGUAAACGAUGGACACUAGGUGUAGGUGGUAUCGGAUCCAUCUGUGCCGCAGU
rnacentral:rRNA from 1 species